CCAUUUUGUGUGUGACUGAAGCCCUCGGAGGCCCUUUUGUGCGUGAGAAAAGGCGUUCAGAUGUAUUUGUCACCUAUGUGAAAAUAGCUUUAGUGAUUUACCAAAGUAAAGACAUUAAAGCCACCAAGUGAGCAGCCUAACAAAAUUCCAGAUGUGUAGCUUGGCAGAGAAGGAAUUCCGGGAACCUGAGAAGCAAAAUGAAAGAUUAAGAGGACUUCGAAGACACAUAGAAUCUUUCCUUAUUUUGGGGUAACCUACUUGAUCUAAGCCUUUCAGUCAAUCAGUUAAGAAAUUCAAGCAAGCAGACUCAGUCUGACAUAGGCUGACAAUGCUGUCAGAAACAACUGGCAAGAGGUUUGAUAUUGAUAUAUUAAAGCAUAGUUAUCUUGAAAGCACAUGGAAAUUGCAAAAACCCAGAAGUCAUGACCACAGACUUGAAGGAUCAGGAAUGGAAUAUGAAGAGGGAAAGCUGUCAAGAAGACAUGGAUGAGCUCUCUAACAUGGAACUUGUGGACCAGUACUUUGGGAGAUAAAAAUACACAAUAACUGAGAGUAUGCUUAUAGAACAGUUGAACAGUAACCCUCUUUGAACUUGACUGCUUGCCGAGAAUCAGUGGAUGUUUUCUCACCCAUCAUCUGGAAGAUGUUUUUUGAGAUAGAUUGGAGGCUACUCCCAAGAAGAACAUAUUUUUCUGCCAGAUAGAGCUGAAGAAUAAGUAUGUUAAGCAUAACAUGAAAAAGUAUGUUACAUAAGAAUAAAUC